GAUGAACGCUGGCGGCGUGCCUAAUACAUGCAAGUCGAGCGAACGGACGAGAAGCUUGCUUCUCUGAUGUUAGCGGCGGACGGGUGAGUAACACGUGGAUAACCUACCUAUAAGACUGGGAUAACUUCGGGAAACCGUAGCUAAUACCGGAUAAUAUUUUGAACCGCAUGGUUCAAAAGUGAAAGACGGUCUUGCUGUCACUUAUAGAUGGAUCCGCUCUGCAUUAGCUAGUUGGUAAGGUAACGGCUUACCAAGGCAACGAUGCAUAGCCGACCUGAGAGGGUGAUCGGCCACACUGGAACUGAGACACGGUCCAGACUCCUACGGGAGGCAGCAGUAGGGAAUCUUCCGCAAUGGGCGAAAGCCUGACGGAGCAACGCCGCGUGAGUGAUGAAGGUCUUCGGAUCGUAAAACUCUGUUAUUAGGGAAGAACAUAUGUGUAAGUAACUGUGCACAUCUUGACGGUACCUAAUCAGAAAGCCACGGCUAACUACGUG
rnacentral:rRNA from 1 species